rnacentral:rRNA from 1 species
CCUACGGGAGGCAGCAGUGGGGAAUAUUGCACAAUGGGGGAAACCCUGAUGCAGCGACGCCGCGUGAGUGAAGAAGUAAUUCGUUAUGUAAAGCUCUAUCAGCAGGGAAGCAAAUGACGGUACCUGAGUAAGAAGCCCCGGCUAACUACGUGCCAGCAGCCGGGGUAAUACGUAGGGGGCAAGCGUUAUCCGGAUUUACUGGGUGUAAAGGGAGCGUAGACGGCAGGGCAAGUCUGGAGUGAAAGGGGGGGGCUCAAACCCAGGACUGCUCUGGAAACUGUACGGCUGGAGUGCAGGAGAGGUAAGUGGAAUGCCUAGUGUAGCGGUGAAAUGCGUAGAGAUUAGGAGGAACACCAGUGGCGAAGGCGGCUUACUGGACUGUAACUGACGUUGAGGCUCGAAAGCGUGGGGAGCAAACAGGAUUAGAUACCCCAGUAGUC